GUCUACAGCCAUGCCACCUCGAACAAGUCCGAUCCCGUCUGAUCUUGGAAGCUAAGCAGAGUGGGGCUUGGUUAGUACUUGGAUGGGAGACUACCUAGGAAGGCCAGGUGCUGUAGGCG
rnacentral:rRNA from 1 species